rnacentral:tRNA from 2 species
GCUGCUGUAGCUCAGUUGGUAGAGCAACUGAUUCGUAAUCAGUAGGUCGCCAGUUCGAUUCCGGCCAGCAGCACCA